UACGUAGGGUGCGAGCGUUAAUCGGAAUUACUGGGCGUAAAGCGUGCGUAGGCGGUUGGCAAAGUCAGCUGUGAAAGCCCCGGGCUUAACCUGGGAAUGGCGGUUGAAACUAGUCGACUCGAAUCUGCAGAGGGGGUGGAAUUCGACGUGUAGCAGUGAAAUGCGUAGAGAUGUGGAGGAACACCGGAUGGCGAAGGCAGCCCCCUGGGCUGAGAUUGACGGCUCAGGCACGAAAGCGUGGGGAGCAA
rnacentral:rRNA from 1 species